UACCAGAAGGAGCAAGCAGUGUAGUCACACCUUGCUCUCCGAUCAAAGCUCUUCCCCCGACGAUGGUUGUUCCUACCGGACCUGCGUGCAUUUUAAGGUCACAAUCAGAUUACAAAAAAAUACCAAGAUCAUUAUUAUAACGAGAAAAAUGAAGAAAAAAAUCGUAAUUCGGAGAAACAAGUACAAACCGAUUCCUCGAACAAUGUUGGAAGACGAUGAAGCUGUUGCAAUGGUAGGACGAAGAGCCAACGUUGGUUGGACAGCGGCGACUGGAACACUCGUGAGGAGUCCCCCACCGAUUAAACCGGCAUGGGCCACUGCCAUCAAACAUCCACAAAUAACGAUGAACUACGAAAAAAUAAAAUAAUACAGUUUUUCUGGGAAA